UACGUAGGGGGCAAGCGUUGUCCGGAAUCAUUGGGCGUAAAGAGCGUGUAGGCGGCCCGGUAAGUCCGCUGUGAAAGUCCAGGGCUCAACCCUGGGAUGCCGGUGGAUACUGUCGGGCUCGAGUCCGGAAGAGGAGUGUGGAAUUCCUGGUGUAGCGGUGAAAUGCGCAGAUAUCAGGAGGAACACCGGUGGCGAAGGCGGUUCUCUGGGCCUGUACUGACGCUGAGGAGCGAAAGCGUGGGGAGCGAACAGG
rnacentral:rRNA from 1 species